GAACUUAAAAAAAUAUACAUGUGCAAUGAGCAUAGUAUAUUAUAUAAAACAUAUUUUAGACUACCCGCCAACAUCUGGAAAUUGAUUUUAGUUCCUACGUUAAGGACAUACCAGUUCGCCACUUUCCUUAGGCAAACUUCUGGUUCACCAAUUCGCUACUGAUUACCAUGGAAAAAUGUACGUGUUCUUUAUAUGAACAAAAUAUAGUUCUCAUUAGGUACAUACGAGAAAUGGUUUCACGGAAAAUUGGUGGAAACUGAAAUAAAUACAAAUUUAAAAACGGCACAACAGACGGGACAAUAUUGUAGCUACGAUGAAGGAUAUUUUUUCCCAUAUUUUUACUAUGGUACAUAAUAGAAAUAAGUUUUUUUCUGUGUGAGGGA